rnacentral:lncRNA from 1 species
UUGGCAGGUUGAAGAAGGACAAUUGGUUAAAAAGCUAGUAGAACUCCACAAUGCAUCAGUGAGGCUCGCAUUGUUGAAGAGUAAGGGUCGCAAGCAAGUUCAUUUUGCCGAGGUGUGCCCUGGAUAUUGUGAUGAAAAUAACUUGGGGAGCUGGUGUUCUCCAAACUGCCGGUGUCGGGUCUUGGGUGUGGUUCAUCCGCCCAUAUACUUAUGUUUUGAGGAAGGCAAACCACUUCCGCUUGGAUUCAAGGAAUUCUGACGCACAUUUUCCUGUGCCUGUAUUCUAUAGCUGCACUUAAAUUAAAACAAAGGUAAAGCUGAAAUAAAACGUUCACCUGUUUU